GGGUUACUCCUUGGCGCUUGCGCGCUGUUUUGAUGAAGAUUCGCACCUCUAUCAAAACGGGUAACCCCGCCUCUUGGCAAGGCCUUACUGUCAGAUCAAGUCUGAACUUCUACAGCUAAUGUGCUAUGCGAGCGAGUCGUGGCGCUAAUGCCUGCGCUGGUUGCGCCAUUGGCGAUCGAGCCU
rnacentral:sRNA from 1 species